CUCCAUGCCAUUGGCAGCAAUCUGGGAGAGUGGACCAAGAAGAGAGGCGGUUGGAGGGAUCAACAACGCCUUGUUUGAAGCUUAAAAGUGAACGUCGGUCCCUCUCAUGGCAGCAAGUGAUUGUGUUGAAUCUCACUGCACAUAGCAACGCCAACAGAAUCAGAGACAUUUGUGACGUCCGACGAAGAAUCAUCAUGAAACUUCCAAAAACAGUUUAUGA